AUGGAGGCGGCAGACGACACCACUUCUCUGCAGGCCGCGAUUCGAUGGCUGCUUCACACCAUCCUUCCGAGCCUCCUCCGCAGCAAGCUCGACGGGUGGAUUCGCCAAGCUGGGCUCGGCAGCGAGAUAGAGGGGCUCAGAGACGAGAUCGAGCAAGCCGACGGGGUCGUCUCCGCCGUCAACGCCAGGUCUGAGAUCAGAAACAGGUCGCUGGCCAGAUCCCUCGCAGCCCUCAAGGAGCUGCUCUACGCCGCCGACGACGUGGUCGACGAGCUCGACUGCUACAGGCUCCACGCCCACGGAGACCCAUGGCAUUGGCACCAUCCCAACCAAAGUAACCAGCUGCCAAGUUCUUCAAGAAAUGCAACUGCUGAUAGUUCAUCCACAAGAAAAAGGAGAAGGGGAGAGGUUUCAACAUAUGUCCCCACAGCCAACACAGGCCCUUGGAACAAGGACCAAAUUUCGAAAAAGAUACAGGACAUAACGAGUCAGUUGCGAGAAAUCCGAGGGAACGUGCGACGGGUUCUCAAGAUGCUUGGGCCAGGGUCUCGUGCAGGUCCAAAUCGCUGCCAGAGUACAACCACCUCAAACCCACGCCGGGGCACAUCAAGUCUUGUUCAAGGGAAAGUGUAUGGGAGAUCUCAAGAAAAGAGUCACAUCUUAGAGUUGAUAAAAGAACGCAAAUCAGAUGCUGAGGUGACUGUUCUGCCAAUUGUAGGUGUUGCAGGAGUUGGGAAGACGACUCUGGCUCAACUUGUAUACAAUGAUUCAGAUUUGGAGAGUCAAUUUGACCUCCGGAUAUGGAUCUGGGUCUCUAGCAGCUUUGAUGAAACCAGAGUCACAAGAGAGAUGUUAGAUUUUGUCUCCCUGGGAGCACAUAAAGGGAAAUGCAGGUUUCCCAAGCUUCCGGAAGUCUUGGAGGAUCAUGUUAAAUCAAAGAGGGUUCUCCUUAUUUUGGAUGAUAUUUGGGAUGACAUCCGUGAUUGCCAAUGGAACAAUCUAUUAGCACCUUUCAAGCCUAACAAUGCAAAGGGCAGCAUGGUACUUGUGACAACUAGAAUACCGUCUGUUGCCAAAAAGAGAGGUACAACUGGACCGAUUAAAUUAGAUGGUUUGAAAAAUGGUGAUUUCUGGCAAAUGUUCAAAGCGUGUGCAUUUGGUGAUGAGAACUAUGAAGAGCAAGUUAGCCUGGGCGAGCUUGGACGGCAGAUAGCAAAAAGGUUACAGGGAAACCCAUUAGCUGCAGAAACUGCAGGGACACUGUUAAGAGAGCAUCUUACCAUUGAUCAUUGGAACAAUAUUCUAAAGAACGAAGAUUGGAAAUCUCUACAACUCAGUAAUGGCAUCAUGUCUGCUUUGAAGCUUUGCUAUGAUCAGCUGCCCUACAAUUUACAGCAAUGCUUCUCUUAUUGCUCCAUAUUCCCCUACAGUUAUCAUUUUCUUGCUGAGGAGCUGGUACGUAUGUGGAUUUCACAGGGAUUUGUGAACUGUAACCAUUCAAGUAUGAUACAGGAAGAAGGGCGGCGCUAUCUGUGUGACUUGGUAAACCUGGGUUUCUUCGAGCAAGUUGAAAGAAAAGAACUCCCUUCUGGCCAUACUCAAACUUACUAUGCUAUGUCUAUUCUUAUGCAUGAUUUGGCUAGGGUAGUUUCAAAAACUGAGUGUGCAGCUAUGGAUGGUCUGCAGUACAAUGACAUGCUACCAACUAUACAUCAUUUAUCUAUAGUAAAGGAUGGUCAGACUGCGAAUAUACUUUGUGGUACUGAGAAGUUUGAAGAAAACAUACCGAGCAUAUUAUCAUCAGUGGCAAAACUGAGGACAUUUGUUUUGAUUGGGCACUAUGAAUCUUCCUUCUUCGAAGAAGUUUUCCGAAAGGCAUAUAAUUUGCGUGUCUUGCAAAUUUGUACGACAUCUGCUGAUUUUCAAUCAUUCCAGUAUAAUUUCCUGAAUUUUAUACAUCUUCGAUGUCUAAAACUUGAUGGCCAUGUUGAGCAGAGGGGCUCGCCUCAAGUUCACUUGUAUGACGACGAUUCUGCUGUUCAGGAGAGUGCUACUUUGCUUGCCUCACAGAAGGUCCAUCUAGAGAAUGGGGGAGAAAAGCAAGUGGUUCUAUCUCUGGAAAAGCUUCCAUUCCUUACAACAUUGAAGUUAACCAACAUGUGGGGAGUAAGAGAAGUAUUGGUUCCGUCAUUGGAGGAACUGGUUUUAGUUAACAUGCCCGAAUUGGAGAGAUGUUCCUGCACUUCUGUGGGGGGUCUGGUCUCUAGUUUAAGGGUACUGGAGAUCCGGGAGUGCGAAGCACUUAAGGUGUUUGAUCUGUUCGAGAAAGCUCAGAACUCGGAAACUUUGCUACAGCUGCAUUCCUGCACUUCUCUAGAAGAUUUGAGAAUUGAAGACUGCGGAUGGAUCAACACAAUAGAGGGCCUUCACCUUGAGAAACUCAGGCAGUUGAAUGUACGCAGAAACUCAAGACUGCGUGGUAUAUUAGGAAAGGGCUAUUACCUACAGCCUCCACUGGAUUCACUUAUAAUUAAUGAGUUAUCUGUCCUUACCACGUCAAUCUGCAAGGGGCUCACCUGUCUCCAGAGCCUAAUAAUUCAAAAUUUGAAGUGCGAGGCUAGGAGACUAACAGAUGAUCAAGAGAGCGCGCUUCUGCUCCACAAGUCCCUGCAAGAGCUAGUGUUUAAUGAUUGUGGGUACCUCGUGCAUCUUCCUGCAGGACUGCAUGGUCUUCCUGCCCUCAAGAAAUUGAAGAUCAUAAGCUGUAGCAGCAUAUUAAGGCUUCUGAAGGAGGAACUCCCACCUUCGCUGGUGGAACUGGAAAUCGAUUUUUGCAGCGUUGAGUUGGCAAAACAAUGCAGAUUGCUAGCAACAAGCAAGCUAAAUGUCAUAAUUUAUGAGGACUAUGACCAAGAAGAAACCGAUACUUCCAGCAACUAG
rnacentral:rRNA from 1 species